rnacentral:lncRNA from 1 species
CUGCUCCCUAGUCUUCUGCCUCUCUCAUCUCAGGUCCCAGCACAGCCCUCCUGGUGUGCCCUGCCCUUCCUCUCUGAGCUCUUACAGACUGUGGCCCUCCAAUUCCACAGGGCAGGGCCUAAACAGAAGCCAGCCUUUCCCUUUUCUUACAUUUCUGGUGCUCUGGCCCUAGUCCUUAUUGCUGUCCGUAUAAAGCCAGGUUUGGGGUCUUGGGUCCCUGAGACUUCCCCCUUGUUUGCUGGCUCGUGUGCCUCCUGUUUCUCUACAGGCCCCUCCUGAUUUUUCCACAGGUCCAGUAGCUCUUUCAACCCAUUUCUUCUGACUGAAAAAUGAGCCUUAAGCAAUAUCCACUCUGGGAGCCUUCCUAAGCCUAAGAUUCCAUCAGACUGUCCUCUCCUGCCUCCAUCUGCCCCACACCUUUCCGUCUGCUUAGGAUCUUGCUGGGCCUGUCCGACUGACUAUAAGCAGCUUCCCAGCUUCCCACCUCUCACUGAGCGAGUACGGUGGCUCCGUGGAGGGCGUCCUGGAGGUGCAGGUGUGAUCACUUGAACGCUUGCCCUGGGAUGUGUGCUUCAUGGGCCUUAAUGCAUGUAGUAUCUCAUCAUCAGAUAACCACCAAUAGGGCACCCCCACUUUAUAGAUGCAAACGAAGCGCCCCUGCCUGCCCCCUUUUCUCUUCUUUCUUUCCCCAUGUGACCACAGCAAGCUAUUGUCUAACUUCCCAGACAGCCAUCUCCUUUCCAGCUCUUUUUACCCUCUUGUGUCAUCCUCCCCAAGUGUCUGAGUCACCUGGGUAUCACCCUCUGCUUGGCCUUCCUGCUGACUUCCUGUCCCCACUGCUCCAGUGGCCCAGCAGCCCAGCCUCUGACGUGAUUUUGUCUUCUGCCUUGACUUGGCUGUUCCCACUCCUUCAUACCCUGUUUCCCUUCUAACUAGACAGGAUUCACCCUUGGCCAUGACACCGAUUGAGCCCGCAGGCACUAUCCUCAUCCAUUCUUGGUUUCUUCAUCUAUAAAAUGGAGUCCCUUCCUAUGCCUCUCUCAGUGGACUGAGAUGACCACAUGUAUCUGUCUGCUACCUGGCAGGGCUCAAUACCACAGCUUGUAGCCAGGGGCACCUGCUGAGCUAUGGGUGGGGCCGGAGAGGCAGCUGUGGGUCUAUUCCUUGGAUCCUUCAGGCCUGGACUAACUAUAGUUAGGUCCUUGAGACAGUUUUCUUAUUGGAGAAGAACAACCAGGUAGAGCACAUAUUAAGUCCCUUUUAAAUGUUUUGCUGAUAGAAAUACUAAGCCCUGCAUUCCCAGGUAAGCGGAUGCUGACUUGGGUUCCCACUCAUCUGCACCAGGCUCCGGCCACCGCACUGAUUCUGGCCAGCAGGCUGCUGUAGGCUGUGCUAUUUGGCUUGGAGAGGAAAGAGGUGGACAGGACUCCUUCCCCCUUCUGCAGUCAGCUGGUGGCACCAUGGGGAAGCCCUCUGUGCCUGACUUGUUCUUAUACUCAGCUCAUUCAGAGGAAGGGAUGGUUCCAGUAAGGAUCCUCUCUUUUUUUCUCUUUGAAAUGAACAAUAAUUUCAAGUGGGUCAAACUUGGAAAUGAUUUUGUGGAGUUCCUUCCUUGAUUAAAUUGUUAAAGAGUGCGGAGGCAGACAGUGAAAAAAAUCCUUGCCUUACAGGCCCCUAAAAUAAAAACAAAAACAGGGCUGGGGUUGGGCUCAGCAGCAGAGCGCUCACCUUGAGGCUCUGGGUUCAAUCCUCAACACCACAUAAAAAUGAAUAAAU